rnacentral:rRNA from 1 species
UGGGAAUCUGCCCUUGGGUUCGGAAUAACAGUUAGAAAUGACUGCUAAUACCGGAUGAUGACUUCGGUCCAAAGAUUUAUCGCCCAAGGAUGAGCCCGCGUAAGAUUAGCUAGUUGGUGAGGUAAAGGCUCACCAAGGCUACGAUCUUUAGCUGGUCUGAGAGGAUGAUCAGCCACACUGGGACUGAGACACGGCCCAGACUCCUACGGGAGGCAG